rnacentral:rRNA from 1 species
UCCAGACUCCUACGGGAGGCAGCAGUGGGGAAUAUUGGGCAAUGGAGGCAACUCUUACCCAGCAAUGCCGCGUGAAUGAAGAAGGUCUUCGGAUUGUAAAGUUCUUUAAUUGGGGACGAAAAAAAUGACGGUACCCAAGGAAUAAGCUCCGGCUAACUACGUGCCAGCAGCCGCGGUAAUACGUAGGGAGCGAGCGUUGUCCGGAAUUACUGGGUGUAAAGGGAGCGUAGGCGGGCGAGAAAGUUGAAUGUUAAAUCUACCGGCUUAACUGGUAGCUGCGUUCAAAACUUCUUGUCUUGAGUGAAGUAGAGGCAGGCGGAAUUCCUAGUGUAGCGGUGAAAUGCGUAGAUAUUAGGAGGAACACCAGUGGCGAAGGCGGCCUGCUGGGCUUUAACUGACGCUGAGGCUCGAAAGCGUGGGGAGCAAACAGGAUUAGAUACCCCAGUA